AGUAGCCGCGGGAAUACGUAGGGUGCAAGCGUUAAUCGGAAUUACUGGGCGUAAAGCGUGCGCAGGCGGUUAUAUAAGACAGAUGUGAAAUCCCCGGGCUCAACCUGGGAACUGCAUUUGUGACUGUAUAGCUAGAGUACGGCAGAGGGGGAUGGAAUUCCGCGUGUAGCAGUGAAAUGCGUAGAUAUGCGGAGGAACACCGAUGGCGAAGGCAAUCCCCUGGGCCUGUACUGACGCUCAUGCACGAAAGCGUGGGGAGCAAACAGGAUUAGAUACCCGAGUAGUCCCUGUCUCUUAUACA
rnacentral:rRNA from 1 species